UUUUAUCCAAUAUCAUACAACUCAAAAGCAUUUAGUUAGAAGAGCAUGGCUUGAGGUUUUCAACGACGACGACCCCAGGACUGUGGUAUCCAUGUAAUUCAGGGGCGAAUACAGUGGCGUUUAACUGCCUCACCCUCCUAUAUCAUACCUUCGUUCCUGGUCUUCUCCAAGGCGCGCUCUCCGACGUCGUCCAGUCUCACUUUUCCGGCGACGGGAAAAUGUCCGGCCCCUGCAAGUCCAACAAGAUCCGCCACAUCGUGCGGAUCCGGCAGAUGCUGAGGCAAUGGCGAAAGAAGGCGGCGGCAGCGACCAGCCCGUCCCGGGCGCUGGGCGCCGGCGGCGGGGUUCCGCCGGACGUUCCGGCUGGCCACCUGGCGGUUUACGUAGGGAAGAGCCGCAGGAGGUUCGUCGUGCGGGCGAGCUACCUCAACUACCCGGAGUUCCGGAAGCUCUUGAUCGAGGCAGAGGAGGAGUUCGGCUAUGACCACGCCGGUCCGAUCGCCAUACCCUGCGACGAGCUGCUCUUCGAGGAGAUCCUCCGUGCCAUUGCCGGAGACGAGAACGGCCAGAAGGACUCCUCUUCCAAGCGGCCGUGCUCUCGCUCACCCGGCGAGGAGCUGCAGCGCCGGUGCUGCGACGCGAAGUUCUGGGCGGACUCGACGCCGCUGCUCCACGCCGUCGCCGGGCAUUCCAUCGGCUAGGUCAACGGGUCCGGAAACGGAUCUCCAUCUCCAGUAACUGAUUUCGAAAAUACCCCUCGCUAUCUGUAAAAAGACUACUCUAUCCAAUCUCCCAUCCGCUGGAAUCGGGAUAUUUUUGUUUCUUCGUGCUCGCACCUCUUGCCCCUCAGAACCCGAAGGGCGAUUUGGGUAUUAAGAAUCGAGGUCGGGGCUCUCUCGUCCAAAAGCGUCCUUCUCUUUGCCCGUUGAGACGGACGCGGGAAGUUUAAUGGAGUGGAACGAUCAAUCGGUUCAGAAACUCGAUCUUCACACCACCAACAUCACAAUCUUGGCAAAAAGAGCAAGACGCAUUAAGAGAUUGCAAGUGGGAAAUCAUUUGGUGACCCAGCCGGUUGGGGUUGAAACUUGAAAGGUCUUGACGUCAUAACAACUUUUCCGUUGCCACAUGCAAAGCUGUCCGGACUUAUUUGUUUUAAAUUCUCCAAAAUGUUUAGAGAAUUGAUGUUGAAUUACCAACAUAGAGCUACAUUUUGAUUCCUUCCCAAUAU